AAAUGGGAUGAAAUUUAAUAAUACAAAGAGCAAGGUCAUGCACUUAGAGAUUAAUAACAAGAAUUUUUGCUAUAAACUGGGGACUUAUCAGUUGGAAGCCACAGGCGAGGAGAAGGAUCUCGGAGUAUUGGUUGAUCACAGGAUGACUACGAGCUACCAGUGUGAUGUGGGCAUGAAAAAGUCUAAUGCAGUCCAAGGAUACAGCAGGUCUCAAGCCUGUUCUUCUGCAGCAUGGCUUAGUUUUAGAGGGAACCACCUGAGUUGCGAAUGUGGCCAGUGGCAGCCUGGGCUUCAUAUUAGCAGAUGCUGGCUAUGAUGUUUGGAUUGGACAUAACAGAGGGAACUAUUGGGCAAGAAAACACUACAACCGUACAGCUGAUCAGGAGGAAUUUUCAGAUAACAGAACCAACACGACUGCAGCUACACCACAAAUGAAACUGGAAUGACAUUCUGACCUGGACUGGGAGGUGAUAGUUCUUAUAAAGACCAUGAUUCUCUUCCCUUGGUGCCAAAAUGCUUCCCAUGUACCUAGUCUU